rnacentral:rRNA from 1 species
GAUGAACGCUGGCGGCGUGCUUAAUACAUGCAAGUCGAACGGAGACGUUAUAGCAAUAUGAUGUCUUAGUGGCGAACGGGUGAGUAACGCGUUGGUGACCUGCCCCGAAGAGGGGGAUAACAGCUCGAAAGGGCUGCUAAUACCCCAUGUGGUCGCGAAGGUUAGAGGCUUUGCGAUUAAAGGAGUAAUCCACUUCGGGAGGGGCCUGCGUCCCAUCAGCUAGUUGGUAGGGUAAAAGCCUACCAAGGCGACGACGGGUAGGGGGCCUGAGAGGGUGACCCCCCACACUGGCACUGAAACACGGGCCAGACACCUACGGGUGGCAGCAGUAGGGAAUAUUGCACAAUGGGCGAAAGCCUGAUGCAGCAACGCCGCGUGCGCGAUGAAGGCCUUCGGGUCGUAAAGCGCUUUUUGGGGAGAUGAGGAAGGACAGUAUCCCCAGAAUAAGGUUCGGCUAACUACGUGCCAGCAGCCGCAGUAACAC